rnacentral:lncRNA from 1 species
UUUAAAUAUAUAAUACAUAUAAUUAUAUAAAUAUAUAUAAUAUAUAUAUUUUUUGAGACAGAGUCUCACUCUGUCACUAGGCUGGAGUGUAGUGGUGAUCUCGGCUCACUGCAACCUCUGCCUCCCAGGUUCAAGUGAUUCUCCUGCCUCAGCCUCCUGAGUAGCUGUACCUGCAGCAAAUCUCUGCCUGAACAUCCAGGCAUUUCCAUAUAUCCUCUGAAAUCUAGGCAGAGGUUCCCAAAUCUCAAUUCUUGUAUUCUGCACACCCACAGGCUCAAUAACAUGUGGAAGCUGCCAAGGAUUGGAGCUUGCACCCUCUGAAGUAACAGCCUGAGCUGUACCUUGGCACCAGUUUCUGAGACCCAGUUUUCACAGGGUAAUGUGAAGAGGGAUAGUUAAACCUGCAUAAGCGGUAAGCUUCCUUACUGCAGAAAAAUCCCGAGUUUAUGUAUGCCCAUUAUUUUUAACUGUUCAGUUAGAAUGUUUAUUUUUUGCUCUUCAAAAGUAGAUACUCUAUAUUUUCUAAGGCUCUUAUUAACCAUGUGGAGCUUUAAUGAAGGUUCGAUAGAAAACAACUAUUGGUAAAAGCCUAAGUCAACAGGAUUGAUACACAGGUUGUUUACAUAAGCUAUGUCUACUGUAUAUCAAUCCAAAGCCUUUACUUUGAGACAUGAAGAAAAAAUUGUACAGGUACACAUGGAAAAGACAUGAUCACUCCUGCAUAGUUUCAUGAAACUUGAAAUUAUUGUUUUUAAAAAUAGUCACUAUGAAAUUAUUUCUUUCUAAUAUAGCUAAUUCUCAGCUUCUACGUGGAACCCUUGGGGCUACAAUGGGGGACCACAUUAACAUAAAUCCCAACCUCGCAGAUUUCUAUUAAAAAUAAUUUCAAGUGGUUCUCUAUUUUAUUCUAUUAAUUUAGAAAUGUUUUCUAAGCAAAAUCUGUCACAUACCUAUUAUUUUCAGUGACUGUAGUAUAAAACUGGCUUGGAAGUCACAUUAAUGAAAACUUUACGAUUACCUCAUCUGAGCUAUUUAUUUCCAAAAAAAAGUUUACAAUACACAUGACAAGUAUUUCACAAACAGCAUCACACACAUGAACAUUUUUAGUUUAAAAAAGAUGAAAAUAAUAUUAGCUAACAUUUCUUGAGCUCCUACCAUGUACUAGGCACUGUUCUAAAGUGUUAGUUAAUUAUAUCAUUACAGUUCAGGAUUAUAACUAAAUCUUUUUUUUUUUUUAAUGAACCAUUGGUAAACUUACCUACUUAAAGCUAUCUGUUGAGAAAUAUUCAAGCCAUAUUUAAGUUCACUUGGCAAUUAACUUGUAAUCAUAAAUGAGUAAAAUCUUUUAAAAUAAGGAAUAUAUUUUAUUUUAAAACCACCUUAAAAAUAGAUGGGAAGACAUUGAGGAGCAAUUUUUGUUUGACCUUUAAUGGAUGAAUAGCUGAAAGCCUAGAAAACAAAAAUAAAAUAAAGUCAGCAAGGCUGACAGGAAAGCAUGAGAGAAAGCCACACUGAUCUACGUGUCACACUUAGAAUAUUUGACCCUACAAACAAUAGAUAAAUUGAUUAAUCAAUUUACCCAAAAUGUAUACUUUGAGAAGAUUAAUACAAUUUAUAAUCUUCUAGUCAGACUGAUCAGGAACAAGGAAAGAAGAUACAAAUCAUCAAUGUAGAAAUAAUAUAAAUUGGAGAACAGAGAAAUGCAAAACAAAAUAACAAAACUCUUGUUAGUAAUCAUAAUUGAGAUGAUAGUAUUAGUAUUGUUAUUCUGAGACAGUUGUAUGUACAAUGAGAAAUCAAGCAAAUGAGUAAUUACAGGUUAUUCUCAUUCUAUCAUCUCUUGUAUUUUGAGAGCCAGAAUUAUAAAGGCAUAUGAAUUGCAACAAAGAGGUAAUAUAGAAGAAGUCUUGCAAAAAUCUUAUAAUUUUGAAUUGGAAAUGAAGAUGGAAAUAUCAGUAUGGCCUCACAAGCCUUUAUCUGUGUAACUUUGUCUUUAUCUAUUAAUCCUAAAUCCCCUGAAAAGAACUAGAAAAUAUAAUAAACUCAGAUUGUAGUACUGUCCAAUUUAAAAGAUAAUGUGUUUUGUGGAGAAAUGGAAGUGUUCAUGCCUAUAGAAGAAAAUGUACAAGAUUGAGUAUAGACCAUCUUGAUAAAACAGACAGCAAGGAAGCUAUCAAUGACCGCUAGGAUCAUGCCUGAAGAAUUCAAGAGCCAACCUGCUGAUGUUUUGCUCAUCAUAGAUGAGACAAAUUGAACUUCAAUAAGGAUAAGAGGCACAAUGAAUUGAAACUCAUCAUAAAUCCAUGAGUUUAUAUAAAUGUGAAAACUAAUAAUUGAUCAACUGCUGAAAAAACAGUGAUCCAAAUCACUUUUGGAAAACUGAUUAAAUGACAGAAAGGAUCGAGAUGAUUUUUCCACCUUUCCUGUAUGAACUGUAUCAUUGGAUAAUCAAAUAGUAGAUGAAAGGUAGUAUUCCUUUGCAAAAUUAUUACACCUGAAAAAAUAAAAUGAUAGAAUUAAAUUGCAACCACUUUUUAACACCAAAUGGAAGAUGAAAUGAACAACUAGCAGGCAAUAAAUAGCUGGGAGAAAAAUAAAAAUAAAAGCCAGAAGGCAGAUAUACUGAGCCUCUUGUUAAAGGAAAUCAUCUAAAGACUUUAAUCAAAUCUUUUUCUGAAAUAUAUUAAAGUGUACCAUGAGUUUAUAAUCAGCCUGACUCAGAUUCAGGAAAACUUUCCAAGGUAAACUUUACAGUUUUUUUUUUUUUAAAAAAAAAAGAAGUAAAAGGAAAAGAAAAGGAUGGAGAUUUAGACACAGCGAAAAUGGGGAAAACUGUAUUCUGGUGUCUCAGGAUACACAUUUGCUUGACAAAACAUAAAGAAAUUCAAGGACUUGAUUAUGUAUCAGGA